UACGUAGGGAGCGAGCGUUAUCCGGAUUUAUUGGGUGUAAAGGGUGCGUAGACGGGUCUACGAGUUAGUUGUGAAAUCCCUCGGCUCAACUGAGGAACUGCAGCUAAAACUAUAGAUCUUGAGUGCAGGAGAGGUAAGUGGAAUUCCUAGUGUAGCGGUGAAAUGCGUAGAUAUUAGGAGGAACACCAGUGGCGAAGGCGACUUACUGGACUGUAACUGACGUUGAGGCACGAAAGUGUGGGGAGCAAACA
rnacentral:rRNA from 1 species